UCCGCCUGAGGCCGGAUACCCACUCUGGGCUCGGAUACCCGCGCUGGGCCCGGAGCAUCCUCGGCGCUGCCCUCCCAGAGCCCCGCAGAGGCUGAGGUGGCGCGGGGGCGGCCCCGGCUCCGCGAGAAGAGGCGGCAGCGAGGGCUGGAGGACCCGGGCUACGGGGCUCCGGGGCGUCUGGCCUGGGUGGGACUGAGCCCAUCCAGGGACUGGGACUCCGGGGUUCUGGUGUAGGUGGAUCCCGGGCAGGCUCAGGACCAAGACCCUCUCCUUCCACCAAGGAGCGCCCAGAGGCCGGCGGGAGCUCCAGGUUCACCUCCUCCUCCUCCAGGAAAUCCCACUUCCAGCUGGAUGUCUGGAUGAACUCCUGAAAGCUGCUGAGUGUCCUGCAGCAGGCCAUUUCCAAUCCAGAGGAAGACCUUCUAGAAGAAGUGAUGGGUGGGAGAGUGCUGACAUACUAUGCAAAGCUACUAUUUGGAGUUGGACACGAGUGCAUGUGACCUUGUGCCACAGCGGGAAUGUGAGCUGGAUGACAAAUGGAGAUUUGGACUUGUGAUAAUUGGCCUCUGUGUCAUUGUGUGGAAGACUGACUGGUCCCUUUAUUUCCUGUAGCUUGACUACCACACAAAUUAAUCCACUCAAAUGUUGGCAAGUGGAGCAGAGUCCCAGGACAGGUACAGAAACACCCCCAGUUCAAGGAUCUUCACACCUGGAUUUAGGCCUACACCUGCAACUACCCCAGGCCAGUUAUCCAGGCAGUGACUUUCUGUACAGCUACAGUCACCUCUGGACACCUGCGGAGACUUUAAAAAUUUCCAGAAGGUCAGGAAUUUUUGGAGACCUUUCUUAUGGCUACGUUGCCUGCAAAGGUGAAUCAAUAAGCUUCUGAACUGACUUAGAAAAUGUUGCAGAGACUCUUGUGAACAGAUAGACCCUCUCCUGCCACUCCAGAUAGACGUAUCCGGGUCACACACACCUGAUUUAACAACAUCUCAUUAUCUCAGGUGAGCAACAGACAGCAAUUUAGGACCUAUCCCAGUGUGGAUGAGAGAUAUUGAGUUGGCUUAGAAAAAUGUUAGAUAGACUAGAUGGGGCAAGAAAGCCCAUUCUGGGGCUCAAAAGCCUGCACAUAGAGUUGCUGGCACAUAAAGGGUAUGUAUAAAUUCUUUCUCAG
rnacentral:lncRNA from 1 species